AGCAGCCGCGGUAAUUCCAGCUCCAAUAGCGUAUAUUAAAGUUGUUGCAGUUAAAAAGCUCGUAGUUGAAUUUCGGGACCAAUAUGUCGGUCGUGCUUCGGUACGUACUUGCAUUAUUGGUUUCUCCCUUCUGAAGAACCAUGAUGUCAUUAAUUUGGUGUCUUGGGGAAUCAGGACUGUUACUUUGAAAAAAUUAGAGUGUUUAAAGCAGGCUCACGCUUGAAUACAUUAGCAUGGAAUAAUGAAAUAGGACGUUUGAUUCUAUUUUGUUGGUUUCUAGGAUCGACGUAAUGAUUAAUAGUGAUAGUUGGGGGCAUUAGUAUUCAAUUGUCAGAGGUGAAAUUCUUGGAUUUAUUGAAGACUAACUACUGCGAAAGCAUUUGCCAAGGAUGUUUUCAUUAAUCAAGAACGAAAGUUAGGGGAUCGAAGACGAUCAGAUACCGUCGUAGU
rnacentral:rRNA from 1 species